UUCCGGAGAGGGAGCCCGAGAAACGGCUACCACUUCCAAGGAAGGCAGCAGGCGCGCAACUUACCCUAAUCUCGAUUCGAGGAGGUAGUGACAAGAAAUACCGAUGCGGGACCCUACGGGGUGCCGCGUUCGGAAUGAGUACGAUUCGAACCACCUAACGAGGAACGAUCGGAGGGCAAGUCUGGUGCCAGCAGCCGCGGUAAUUCCAGCUCCAAUAGCGUACGUUAAAGUUGCUGCAGUUAAAAAGCUCGUAGUUGAACGUUCGGGGUUCCGCGGGACGGGGCCGCCCCGCGAGGGACGGCGCCGCCCCGGGGCUCGUGAUAUCUCAUCUCGCCGCCCGUCGCCGAGGCGGACGGAGGGAUGGGAUGAGGUUACCUGGAAAAAAUCGGGGCGAUCUAGGCGGGCGAACCUCGCCAACGAACGAUCGGACAUGGGAUAACGGAAGAGGGCGUCGGCUCGACUUCGUCGGUUCCUCGGGCC
rnacentral:rRNA from 1 species